AGUCAUUCUUAGUCUUAAACUCAUUCUUGAUGACAAAGAUCUGUUUGAGAAAUGGAUUCAGUAGUUGGAUGCCAUUUUGGGUAAGCAGAAAAGAAAAGUUAUUCUUUUCAUUGACAAGUGCCCUGCACAUCUAAAAGACAUAAUAUGUGUCACGAAUAUAAAAUCGUUUAUUUGACACCUAAUGUCACAUCCAUACUGCAACCCUUAGAUCAGGGUAUUAUGAAGUGGCCAAUAAGAAGUGAAUAAACAUUAUCAUUAAUAUUUAACAAAAGUACAGGAAAAAAUUAGUACAGUGGUACUUAAGAGGCAAUCAAAAGUGAUGUUUUAGACUAAACAUUUUAUUACUGCUGCUUGGGAUGAAAUUGACGCACUCGUUAUAAGAAACGGUUUUUGGAAGAUUGGAUUUUCAUAUAAGACAGUUACCACUUGACUAACAACACAGCAACAAGAACUGAGAAACUUCUCCAAAAUUUUCCGUAUCACGCGAGUGAAUGACGCUCUUGUAACUAGCAACAUUCGCACUAUUGAUGUCAUGAUGGCUGACAUCACCACUGACCCUUUGGGGAGUGAGAGUGAAAAAAAUGACUCUGAAGAAGAGGACAAUCAUUCCCCAUCACCUAUAGUUUCUGCUGGGUUAUAAAACGUGGCCAGCUCUGAAAAGUUAUUUCCACCCUGAAAAAUGCAGAGGGCAUGCUAUGUUACAUUAGCAGAAUAGACAACUUCCUCUCCACAUACAAGUAACCUUGACAGGUUUCUCUCUGGUCAGUGAGUGAGCAGUAAACCCAGCAAUCCAAAAUAUAGAAACUGCAGAAAGAAUAGCACUGAGGACCAUUUCAAGAAUAAGACAUCCACACAAUAGAUUGCACAACCCACUCAAUGAAUUAUUAUAUGCAAAAAUCAAGAUCCAACCCAUUUUAGAAAGGCUUCAAAAUCUAAAUGCAAGAUUCUACAGUAGACUGGAAGAGAUGUCAGACAUCGUCCAGCUUUACCACGAAGACCCCAUCAACAACCCAACAAGAAAGUUUCCGACAUCAACACUUCUUCAGAAACUAAGACAGAAAUUUAGAAAUUGAUAGUUUGAUUAGAGCACAUUUUAUACUUU